GAAUGACACCAUUGCUGAUUCUGGCGCCUUGACUGUUCCAUUCAAAGGCCUGAAAACCAUUGCGGAAAGGGCAAAUUCUAUAUGGUUAUACAUAGUUCCUCGUGGGAUGAGAAGUUUGAUGAACUACAUCAAGAACAACUAUGGAAACCCACUAGUGAUCAUCACUGAAAAUGGGAUGGACGACCCAAAUGAUGCAUUGAAACCAGUCAAAGAAGCACUGAAGGAUGAGAAGAGGAUCAGAUAUCACAAUGGCUACUUAACAAACCUUUUGGCUGCCAUCAAGGAAGAUGGUUGCAAUGUGAAAGGCUAUUUCGUUUGGUCUUUAUUGGAUAAUUGGGAG
rnacentral:misc_RNA from 1 species